rnacentral:lncRNA from 1 species
CAGACGACCAAUUAGUUGUUAUUCCCAUUCUGGGAUUGGAUGUAAGAGUGAUUUCUAAUGGAAACAAGUAGAUUUGGACCUUUGGCAGAUAAUAAUAGCUUUUUCUCAGGCAAACGAUAGUAUAUGGAAAUGUCCUUUCUUCUCACUUGGGUUCAUUUUUAUAUUUUUUUAGUCCUUCAGUAUUUUUCAAAUACUAGGAAUUGUGAAAAGAAGGAAAAGAGAGGUGAAUGUUAAGAUAUUAGUCAAUAUCAGCAAGGUGGAUUAACAAAACAAGUGUUAAGAAGAAGAUAACAUGGUUUCUUCUGCUAAAGGUAAUGCCUUGGUGUGAGGCCAUUCACCCCACAGUGUGUUAUCUUCUGAAAGGACACAUCGAAACUGUGUGCCCAACUGGAGUGGCAUUUGCUGAAGGAGGUAACACCUCUUAAACAUCAGGACAAGUGCAAUUGCUCAUUUGAGGAGAGCUCUUUCCCUUCCAUCUCCCAAGACGACGUGUUUCAGGGAUUUUCACUGAUUUGUUCACUCCUUUCAACUUGGAAAAACCUAUCAUCUGUCCUCCAAGAUUAUCUGAUCUUGUAUAUAAGUCAAAGUAUAUAUUCUGUUAAUUUUUUCUUUUAAUGCAUAAAAAUCUGUCUCUCUCUGGAUUGGGGAUCCAGUGACAAGCUGAAGAGGCCUGAUCCCAAUUUGUUAUAUAAAAGUCACACA